UACAGAGGGGGCAAGCGUUGUUCGGAAUUACUGGGCGUAAAGGGCGCGUAGGCGGCCGCCUAAGUCAGACGUGAAAUCCCUCGGCUCAACCGGGGAACUGCGUCUGAUACUGGGUGGCUUGAAUCCGGGAGAGGGAUGCGGAAUUCCAGGUGUAGCGGUGAAAUGCGUAGAUAUCUGGAGGAACACCGGUGGCGAAGGCGGCAUCCUGGACCGGUAUUGACGCUGAGGCGCGAAGGCCAGGGGAGCAAACGGG
rnacentral:rRNA from 1 species